UAUUGUAACUCAUUGAAAAAUAUUAACAAUUAAUUGUGAAUACAUGCCGUUAUCAGCUUCCUUAUUCCUAAUACCUGGAAAUUUUUUUUUUUUUAACUGAUAGAUUUUGAUGUAAAAAAGAUCGAAAUUAUCAAGGUAUCUUAGUUGAAGGACUUGGGAAAUACUAUCAAAAUUAAUUUCUUAGGAAAAAAUUUUAAAGUAUAUUUAAGUACUCUGGAUAGACUGAAAUAUUUCCAUGUUAUUUCUGCAGUUGUAGACUUAGGCUUACUUGUAAAGCAGCAUGCUCCACUGACUGCCAUCUCUAGUCUUGCAGUGGGUGGCAUUAACCCACAGAAAGCAAGCAGUUGUGUAUCACAUAGACAAUGGUUGUGACAUAAACAGAUUCAGUUGUUUUGUUGUUCAUUUGUCAUAUGUUUGUGAUAGGGAUGUUGGGAGCACAGCUCUAUUCUGCCUGCUCAGACUUAAGUUAGACCCGUAUCUUUUAUAUUAUGUCAUGAAAAAAGUCUCCUAAAAUUGUGAAACUAGUUAUUGAUAUGAGUGAUGUGAUCAUCAGCAAUAAAGACAUAAUAACUCUGUUUUCUUAGUCUGUAUAGAGGAGAGGAACUUGCUUGGCUUUAAAAUAUAUUUAUUUGCCAUUUAAGUAUAAAUAUGAAAUCUGUUUCUUACUGGGAAGAUAGAGUAUAUAUAUUUUCCUUUAAACGUUUUAAGAUCACUUUUAAAUAACCACAUCUGAUUUAUGGUUUUUAACAAAGGACUAAAGAGCUCACACCAAGCUAAUUUUGUUUUUGUGAUAUAAACUUUCAGUGUUGAGGGACCAUGCCAGCAACUACCAAAAAUCUCUUACAUCUUCAGGUACAGCUGGCAUUCUGGCAGAUGCACUGAGACAUCUGAGACCCUCAGAAGGGAAGGAUAAUCCAAGAAUAUAGGAAAUCUGUGUUCUCCUCCUUUCAUUUUAUCCCUUAUAUUUCUAAAGACUAAUUAUAAGUAAUCUGACACUUUAAUGUAGCAACUCUUAUUUAUUUUUUCUUUCUGAGGUAUUCAAAUAUCUAGACUGAAUUUUGCCAAAUGUUAAAGGGAGAAGAGUUACUGAAGACUUUGAACAUUUUUGUGAUUGCUUAUGUCAUUAGUGCCUCAUGACUGUGUUUGAUGUCCUUUAUUGAUACAAAGUGAGCCUGUGCCUUCAUUAUCUUGCCCAUUUUAAUACAAAUGGAAACCUGGUGUUUGAAAAUCUCUGAACUGUGUGGGUUUUGGAGGAAUAUACCUGAAUUUUAUUCAAUGACAGUUUCUGGACAGGAAGAAAAAUACAGUUACAUAUUUAUAAAA
rnacentral:lncRNA from 1 species